UACGUAGGGUGCGAGCGUUAAUCGGAAUUACUGGGCGUAAAGAGUGCGUAGGCGGUUUUCUAAGUUUGGUGUGAAAUCUCCCGGCUCAACUGGGAGGGUGCGCCGAAGACUGGAAGGCUUGAGUAUGGGAGAGGUAGGCGGAAUUCCUGGUGUAGCGGUGAAAUGCGUAGAUAUCAGGAGGAACACCUGCGGUGUAGACGGCUUACUGGACCAUAACUGACGCUGAGGCACGAAAGCGUGGGUAGCAAACAGG
rnacentral:rRNA from 1 species